rnacentral:rRNA from 1 species
CUACAUGAAGUCGGAAUCGCUAGUAAUCGCGGAUCAGCACGCCGCGGUGAAUACGUUCCCGGGCCUUGUACACACCGCCCGUCACACCACGAGAGUUUGUAACACCCGAAGUCGGUGAGGUAACCUUUUAGGAGCCAGCCGCCUAAGGUGGGAUAGAUGAUUGGG